AUUCCCUCCGGGACGCAGCAGUGGGGGAUAUUGCACAAUGGGGGGAACCCUGAUGCAGCGCCGCCGCGUGGGUGAAGAAGCGCCUCGGCGCGUAAAGCCCUGUCAGCAGGGAAGAAAAUGACGGUACCUGAAGAAGAAGCCCCGGCUAACUACGUGCCAGCAGCCGCGGUAAUACGUAGGGGGCAAGCGUUAUCCGGAUUUACUGGGUGUAAAGGGGGCGCAGACGGCGAUGCAAGCCAGGAGUGAAAGCCCGGGGCCCAACCCCGGGACUGCUCUUGGAACUGGGGGGCUGGAGGGCAGGAGGG
rnacentral:rRNA from 1 species